CAUCGCCAGUCAGCUACACUCCCAAACCAAGAUCAUAGAAUCUCUCACUCAGUCUGUACAUCGACUAAAGCAGGAGAAAGAAUUCCAGCAGCAGCGGAUCAAUAACCUGGAAGCGGAUGUUCAACGGCUGCAGAACAGUUCUUACAGUAACUUGGAGACCUUGCUAAGGAGGAUAGACGAGCUCAAAAGUGACCACCAUAAACAGCAACAGCAAGAGUUUCACCAGCCUCGUGGUG